ACAUGGGCUUGGUCCUGGCCUUUCUGUUGGUUCUAGGUAAAACUACACAUGCAAGUAUCCGCACUCCAGUGAGAAUGCCCUCUAAAUCAUGCCUGAUUAAAAGGAGCGGGCAUCAAGCACACUACAAAGUAGCUCAUGACGCCUUGCUUAACCACGCCCCCACGGGAAACAGCAGUGAUAAAAAUUAAGCCAUGAACGAAAGUUCGACUAAGUUAUACCUACUCCCCAGGGUUGGUAAAUUUCGUGCCAGCCACCGCGGUCACACGAUUAACCCAAAUCAACAGAAACACGGCGUAAAGCGUGUUUAAGAAUAAUAAAAAAAAUAAGGUUAAAUUCUAACUAAGCUGUAAAAAGCCAUAGCUAAAAUAAAAAUAAACUACGAAAGUGACUUUACAAAUUCUGAAUACACGAUAGCUAAGACCCAAACUGGGAUUAGAUACCCCACUAUGCUUAGCCCUAAACCUAAACAAUCAACACAACAACAUUAUUCGCCAGAGUACUACUAGCAACAGCUUAAAACUCAAAGGACUUGGCGGUGCUUUAUACCCCUCUAGAGGAGCCUGUCCUAUAAUCGAUAAACCCGAUAGACCUCACCAGCUCUUGCCAACUCAGCUUAUAUACCGCCAUCCUCAGCAAACCUAAAAAGGAACUGUAGUAAGCACAAACAUAAGACAUAAAACGUUAGG
rnacentral:rRNA from 1 species